rnacentral:rRNA from 1 species
UGGGGAAUAUUGGACAAUGGGCGAAAGCCUGAUCCAGCCAUGCCGCGUGUGUGAAGAAGGUCUUCGGAUUGUAAAGCACUUUAAGUUGGGAGGAAGGGCAUUAACCUAAUACGUUAGUGUUUUGACGUUACCGACAGAAUAAGCACCGGCUAACUCUGUGCCAGCAGCCGCGGUAAUACAGAGGGUGCAAGCGUUAAUCGGAGUUACUGGGCGUAAAGCGCGCGUAGGUGGUUUGUUAAGUUGGAUGUGAAAGCCCCGGGCUCAACCUGGGAACUGCAUCCAAAACUGGCAAGCUAGAGUACGGUAGAGGGUGGUGGAAUUUCCUGUGUAGCGGUGAAAUGCGUAGAUAUAGGAAGGAACACCAGUGGCGAAGGCGACCACCUGGACUGAUACUGACACUGAGGUGCGAAAGCGUGGGGAGCAAACA